rnacentral:rRNA from 1 species
UACGUAGGUCCCGAGCGUUGUCCGGAUUUAUUGGGCGUAAAGCGAGCGCAGGCGGUUUGAUAAGUCUGAAGUAAAAGGCUGUGGCUUAACCAUAGUAUGCUUUGGAAACUGUCAAACUUGAGUGCAGAAGGGGAGAGUGGAAUUCCAUGUGUAGCGGUGAAAUGCGUAGAUAUAUGGAGGAACACCGGUGGCGAAAGCGGCUCUCUGGUCUGUAACUGACGCUGAGGCUCGAAAGCGUGGGGAGCGAACAGG